UUAAGUGAAAAUUGGUUUUAAAGCAUUUUUCCUUACUAUAAUUAUUUGGCUGCAAAUUAAGGUAUUCAAAAUCUAAUUACCUAAACUGUGUUAAUUAAGGUCAAAGACAACCAGAGCUGUUGUUACAAAUGUGACACCAACAGAAAACAUGGGCAGUUUAAAUCUGUUUGUGAAUUUAUUGUGGUUAUCAAAUAUAUAUGUACAAAAUAAUUAUCCCCGUUGCCACCCCACCCUAAGUUUAUUCCAAAAUAGCAAACACAAUCAACACAUCUGUGCAAAUAAAUCUGGAAACAAACACAUAAAACAGGAUAGCAACACUAAAAACAUAACAGCCCAUGUGCUGCUUUCUUAGUCGUGUCAGAUUUGGCUCUAUAUGUAUUAUGUUCAUGCUUUUUUCAUUGUAGGUGCCAUAAAUAAAUGUUUUGAAAUGAAAGCAUAAUAAAAAUGUUUGUCUGGUUUUGCAACUUAGACUUUUGAAGCAAAGCUCCUCCAUUUGGAGAGUCGACCGAGCACGGGAGAUGAUCUGGAGUUCUUCAUGAGUGGUGACCCUUUACCUGUAGUGGAAUACACUCCAGAAGAGAUUGCCACUUGACAUUUUCUAGAAGCCCUAGGGCAGCUGGCGAGUGAAUGUUUGUAUGGGGGAGGACAAGAUCCCUCAGCUAGGAGAAGUUUCUGCUAUCUUAAAGAGAGGACAGGGUUUCUGUUGCGGCCAAUAGCAGAGCUGCUCUCUGUUCGGGGCUUCUUAGCCAGACUAGUGUUCCGGGUGUUCCAGUGUACUCAGUACAGUUGUCACCCUUCAGCUCCCAUGCAUUCCCCUGAACCAUAAGUAUAGUGACACACACCCAUAAAACUACAUUUAAUUUGGCAAAUCUUUUUUAUUGCACAAUAUUAAUAUUUUUACAUUAUUUAACUCUAAACAGUGACUGCUGCCAUGAACUACUUGGAUGCAGUAGUGCUUGCAGACAAAAAACAUGCCCAUGCUUGCAGACAAAGAAUUUGCUCAGUUUUCACAUGUUUUUGUCCAGAAGUACAAGUUUGAUUUCUAUGCCUCAAAAACAACUUGAAAUUAACAGUUCAAAUGGGAAAUGUGUGAAUUUGGACUAACAUUUAUAAUGCAUGCUAUUUCAAUACAGAUUGAUUUUAUUUAAAUUGUCAACUUGUAAAUCAAUCUUUGUGAACUGAACUUUUUACCCUGCAGGAGAUUGGACUUGGCUGAGCCAAGUUGGCUCGCUU